rnacentral:tRNA from 1 species
GGCCCCAUGGUCAAGCGGUUAAGACGUCGCCCUCUCACGGCGAAAACAGGAGUUCGAGUCUCCUUGGGGCUGCCA